UUCCUUGCUGGACGGGUCGUCUAGAUCUUUCCACCACGGAGGCCUCCGCUCUCUUCCCAUUGAUUACCUCUCUUUCCAUCUCUCCCCCGCAGAAAACGCGUCAGAGGAUCUUCUCUCCUACGCCAAAUUCAGGGUUUCGAAGCAUUUUAGAGAUCGUUCUUCGUAGUUUCCAAAUCUCAGAUGUCUUUGUUUCUCGGUAAUCUAUCUUCUCAUAUUCGACAGGAUGAACUUGAACAUGUUUGCCGGAGGUAUAGGUGCAAUAGUGUUCAGCUGAAAGAUGGAUAUGGUUUUGUAAUAUUUGAUGCUCCUUCCAUUGCGGAAAAAGCUCUAAGAGCACUACGAGGUUAGAAUAUAUGUGGGGAGCCAAUAUCUAUUACAUGGGCGAACAAACAGCCAAGGCCUUUUCAAAGAUUUGCACGACGUACAGGGUUCUAUGAAGCCUACCGCGGGAAGGAUUUAACAAGGGGAGAAAGUUAUGGUAUGAAGAAAAAAGGUUUCUACAGAUGGCCAGACCAGAAAAUGAGUUCUGAGCACCUAGACAGUAAUACUCAAUUGCCAUACACAGAGGAUCCAUUUGACGAGGAAAUUGAUCAUCACCAGAAGCAUACUGGAGAUCGUGGUGGGGAAAAGUGUCAUGACUCCAAUGAAGGAUUGCUGGAUGGAGGUGCUAGUGUUGCAGCCAAUCUGGUGGAGAAUGAUAGAUGGGGUGAACCUGCGAGUGAGAUGCUGAAUGAUAAUGGAGUGGAAAAUGGGACUGAUUUGGAUCGUUAUGAACCUUACCAUGGGUUUGACAGAAGAGAUCAAGUAGGAUACCAAUAAAUGAAUGGUUCUCCUACUGAUUGAAGAUCUAAAGAGAAACAUUGGAGAGAGCAUACUGUUGAGGCAACAUUGAACCAACCUGAUAAACCAAAACCCCAACAGACCUGCUAUGGUUGUGGGUUAACUGGCCACAUAAUGCGCAAGUGUCCCCAAGUAGAUACUUCUCAAAGGAAGAAGUUUCCAGUUUGACUAUAGGAGAGAUGAUAGGACCGGUUUUACAGCUAGUGGUAAGGGGGACUUAAAAAUGCUAAGGCGUUCAUAUUGGGGAAGGCUGAAGUCAAGUAAAGAUCCUAUGUUGGCGAGGCAGCAGAGAACUGACAGAAGGGAAUGUGGUUCUGGGAAGUCUAGGAAAUUGGUUAGGGGGAAUGGAAGCUUUCCUGCAAGUAAGGAAACCACCCAGUCUCAGCUCAAAAGGGAAAUCGAGGUAAAGAGAGAGGUAGGGAAGAACCUGGAAGUCCAAAGAAACAUCGUGGAAAGAAGUCAAGGAAGGUGGCUUCAUCUCCUAUGCGGUCAAAUUACAUUGCAUCCAGUUCAUGCUUGCAUUUGUGGUCCUCAAUGUUUGUUUCUGGGAUUAGUUCCUCUUCUAGAUCAAGAUCGGUGUCUUCUAGACCAUGUUCAAUUUCAUCUACUCCAACAUCAUCCUAUUCAAGGUCUGAAAGUUCUAGGCCAAGGUCAAGGUCAAGUUCUCCAUCUUCCUUGUCUUUGUCCAUAUCACUUGGAAGGUCUUUACCAUCUCCUCCAAGUAAGCAACCAACAAAGGCAACUAGUGCUUCUUCAAAGGGGUAUCUGGAGAAUGUCCCUAGUCCCCAAUCCAAGCAACUUUUGGUUGAGCAAAAACAGCAAGUGGAAAGUGAUGCAAAUUCAAAGAAUUUAAAACAAAAAGGUGCAAGUGUGACGGUGAAAGAUGGGUAUUUGUUACCAUCUUUAAAAGAAGUGGAUGAGGUGAAAAAGGAGAGUCAUGGGGAUGAUGAUGGAAACCAUACUAAAUCAAGGAUUGGGUAUGAGGUAACAAAUCUAGGCACAACUUCAUUGAAACAUCGUAGUUUCUCUGCUGAUGAUUCAUCUUCAGAGAAUUCAAUAGAUACGAGGAAGCCUCAGAAAUUGCAGCCACUAAAACAUACAGAGUCACCUAGUGGGGAGCUGAAUCUUGAGGUUCCUGUUAAUUCGCAGACUAGUACUUCUACAAGAAUAUCCUCAGGGGAGAUGUACAUGGUUCUGAAACACUAUGGGUUGGCACUGCCAGAAGAAAGUGAAAAGAACUUACCUCUAGAGGUUUUCUUUGGUUCAGCUCGUUUAUGGCCUUGGGAGAUCAUAUAAUACCUCCGACUGAAGAAGGACCCAAUAUCAACUAAAAAUUAUGCUUGCUGAGUUUCUCAAAAUAGAGAAUUUUGCAUUGUUGAUAAGUACAUCAGAAGCAGUAGUGGAUGGCAAGAAUGCGAUCAUAACAAUUCUUGACUUGUUCCUCCAUUUUUUUUUUGCAGUCUUAUCAUCUCGCCCUGCAGAACUCCAAAAUGUUUCAUACUUUUCCUUUUAUGCUUUGUUGAAGUGUACAUCCAAUAUAAACAGGUCAAUAUGAACACCCCUACAUUUCAGAUUUGGAAUCUGGUUUCAGAUCAUUAGAGUCCCAAUCUGCAUCUGUUAUAUGUGUGUACCAUGAGCGGAACUCCCCCUCCUUGUUAAGUCGAUCAGCAUAUGAUGCCAUACCUAUUACAUGAAACCCUAGUUGAUGAUUAUAUGACGAUAAACUAGGGUUUCCUUGCAUAUGCUACAUAGUACGUACAUCACUGUUUCUAUGGAGUUAUUCAUCUACAGAAACAAAUUUUUAUCAAGAUAAGGCUGGCAGCACUCUGUUUUAUGGGGUUUCUUGUGGAAGAAUUAAGAUCUACACAUACUUGCAUUGAACCAGCAGAUCAACCUGAAGUUUUAGGGCAUUGUUGACGGACCUUCUAUCCUUCUUUGAGGAUGAUCCAAGCCUCCAAUUGUUGAGAGAAUAUCACUCCAAUAUACUGGUGGUACCUUUGUUUUUAAUGGAUUUCAGCCUGCUUAAGAUAACUUUUAUCUAGGAACCUGGCCAUUGGAUUCUGGUAAUAUUUUGUGUAUGAUUUCGUCUAUCCGAAAGGCUCUUUCAACCUUGCUUUGGUGUCAAUUUGACACCUUUAUAUCUUUAUUUCUGUAAUCGCCCAAUUUCUGGGUCUGAGAUUUCAGAAUUUUCUUAUAUUACUGCUGGUUAUUAUAUCCUUAUCAAAUCAGUUUGAUAUUGUGGGGUUUUUCGUCCCUAUUUACCUACUAUAUCUGACCGGAUUUGGGGACCAUCAGAAAAAGGUUAUCCUAGACUUGUUAACAUCAGAAAAGGGUAUCUGGAUUUCUGAAAUCACCCAAAUUUUUUUGGUAGGAAAAAUACCUCAUUUCUGGGUCUGUGAUUUCAGAAUUGCUUUAUAUUACUGCUGGUUAUCAUAUCUUCAUCAGAUCAGUUAUUGUGGGGUUUUUCUUCCCUACUUACCUACUAUACCUGACCAGAUUUGGGGACCCAUCAGAAAAUGUUAUCCUACCCUUCUGUCAACUUUUGUUUCUGGCCAGAAUUUGAGUCUUAUUGGUGCUGUUGCUGCUGGUUUUUCACAUAUAUAUUCUUCAGUGAUUGCUAUUUGCUCUCCAUUGUGGUUGUCUAUUGAUAAUUGGCUGCUGGUUCAUUUGUAAGGGGUAAAUUCAAAACCCCCCGUGGUCUAUGUCAACGUCCAAAUUACUUCUAUCAAAAUUAAUAGUCAGAUUAUUAACUCUGGGCACAGGCUGUUAAAGUUUAUAUUAUUUGCCAAACAGAAGAUGGAUUAUCAUACUCCGCCACCACUUGCUAUGACUUCUGCUGACUAUAAGGGGUGGACAACGUUGAAUGCCACUAUACUUUGUUGUCUGGAAUAGAAUGGAGCUUUCUGUGGCUGCCAACAUGAUGUUUCAUACCACAACUAAGGGUGUCUUGUAUGAUCUUAAAGAAAGCUACACUCAAGAUAAGUAAAUGUCCAUUGAGACUUGUGGAGAAUCGAUUUACAUUUACUAAACCAUGCCUUAGAUAUAAUUUAAUGCAAGUCUCGUGGAGAAUCCAUGCAUCGACUUGGCCUCAUCAACAUUAACCCAAAGUGUAAGUUGAUCGGUGAUGAUUGUUAUGGUGACUUAAAAGUCUUGCAUGAGAGUGUUUCUAUAAUGGGUGAAGUUGAUCUUUUGAUUCCCUUGGUCAGUCUUGGUCAGUCAAUGAGAUCAUCUUUUGUUUGACUCAGGAGAAGCACCUAACAGUAAGUUAUAUCAGCUGUACGUGAUACUUAGGCCAAAUCAUACAGGUGAUGGUGAUGAAUUAUGGGGAUGAUGGACCAAACCAAGAAUGUAUAGAGUGGAUUUUCCUAAAUGCAGCAAGAAAAUUAUGGUGGAUCGCACACUGUUCUUGCUUGUCCUCGUCAAAAUUCUUGACUAGGGAUCCACUUGUGAGGUAAAGAUUUUUCUUUGUUCUUAGAUCUUUUAGUCAGGUUCGUUGAACCAAUCUGCAAUAAUCUCUUGAAUUCAACGUGUGUGGAGGAGCUAAGUUGCCCAGAAAUAGGUGAAAUGAGAAGAAGAGAUCAAAUUUCAAAGCCUUCCAGCUUAAUUUUUACUUUUCCACUCAGGAGAAAUGAGAACACAAAGAGAAGGUAUUGUCCUAACCGGCCGGAACUUGCCCUUAAUGUUUCUCUCUGCUUUUGUGGCUGAAGGAAGAAGUUGACUUUUUAUUAAUGAUGACCUUGGAAUCAAAAUAGGAUCUGCGUUUUGAGUGGUCAACAACUUCAUGUCUGAAUAUGCUGAUGGACAUUAUUUCAAGUAUCUGCCUUAAGAGUGGUCAACUACAUCUUUUAACAACAUCAUGUAUGAAGCUGAUAUAAAUUAUUUCAAGAAUCAAAAAGGGUCACUGAAGCAUUUAUAGGACGGUGGCAGAUCUACAUCUCUCUCUAUUAGGGCCGGGUUCAAAUAAGGAGUCGGCCGCAGCCGGAAUCUCUCGACAUCAGGGCAGGGUUCGAAUAAGUGGGUUCAGCAAUGGGGUUGCCCUUAGCCGAAUCAGCCUGAACCUUAGGAACCCUUAUUAGAUUGGCCAAUUCAGCUCGACUUGGAUCUGGAUGAUGGUCGGUCGGCCAAUUCGAUCAAUCUGAUUCUGAUUUUUGA